GACAGAGGAUGCAAGCGUUAUCCGGAAUGAUUGGGCGUAAAGCGUCUGUAGGUGGCUUUUCAAGUCCGCCGUCAAAUCCCAGGGCUCAACCCUGGACAGGCGGUGGAAACUACCAAGCUGGAGUACGGUAGGGGCAGAGGGAAUUUCCGGUGGAGCGGUGAAAUGCGUAGAUAUCAAGAGGAACACCUGAGGUGAAGACGGGUUGCUGGGCUGACACUGACGCUGAUGCGCGAAAGCGUGGGGAGCGAACAGG
rnacentral:rRNA from 1 species